CCGACGGUGAGGGGUGAAAGCUGGGGGAGCAAACCGGAUUAGAUACCCGGGUAGUCCCAGCUGUAAACGAUGCGCGUUAGGUGUGUCAGUGACCACGUGUCACUGAUGUGCCGAAGGGAAACCGUGAAACGCGCCGCCUGGGGAGUACGGUCGCAAGGCUGAAACUUAAAGGGAUUGGCGGGGGAGCACCACAACGGGUGGAGCCUGCGGUUUAAUCGGACUCAACGCCGGAAAUCUCACCGGAUAA
rnacentral:rRNA from 1 species